UACGUAGGGGGCUAGCGUUGUCCGGAUUUAUUGGGCGUAAAGAGCGUGUAGGCGGCCUGGUAGGUCUGCUGUGAAAACUCGAGGCUCAACCUCGAGAUGUCGGCGGAAACCAUCUGGCUAGAGUCCGGAAGAGGAGAGUGGAAUUCCUGGUGUAGCGGUGAAAUGCGCAGAUAUCAGGAGGAACACCAAUGGCGAAGGCAGCUCUCUGGUACGUGACUGACGCUGAGACGCGAAAGCGUGGGGAGCGAACAGG
rnacentral:rRNA from 1 species